AUUCCAGCUCCAGUAGCGUAUAUUAAAGUUGUUGCAGUUAAAAAGCUCGUAGUUGGAUUUCUGAUAGUAGCGUUGGGCCCGCCCGGGUUACCGGUGUGAGUGCCUGUUCGCUCCUUUCAUCCUUCUAGAGAACGGUUCUCUCCUUCAUUGGCAGUGGGAUCGCAAUCUAGAUCUUUUACUUUGAAAAAAUUAGAGUGUUUAAAGCAGGCUUGUGCUAUGAAUACAUUAGCAUGGAAUAAUAAUUUAGGACUUUAGUUCUAUUUUGUUGGUUUCUAGAACUGAAGUAAUGAUUGAUAGGGAUAGUUGGAGGUGCUAGUAUUCAGCGGCCAGAGGUGAAAUUCUUGGAUUCGCUGAAGACUUACUUAUGCGAAAGCAUUCACCGAGGAUGUCUUCAUCG
rnacentral:rRNA from 1 species